UACGGAGGGGGCUAGCGUUGUUCGGAAUUACUGGGCGUAAAGCGCGCGUAGGCGGCUUUGUAAGUUAGAGGUGAAAGCCCGGAGCUCAACUCCGGAAUUGCCUUUAAGACUGCAUCGCUAGAAUCAUGGAGAGGUGAGUGGAAUUCCGAGUGUAGAGGUGAAAUUCGUAGAUAUUCGGAGGAACACCAGUGGCGAAGGCGACUCACUGGACAUGUAUUGACGCUGAGGUGCGAAAGCGUGGGGAGCAAACAGG
rnacentral:rRNA from 1 species